GGCGCGGUAGCCAAGCGGUAAGGCGAUGGUCUGCAAAACCGUUAUACGUGGGUUCAAUUCCCACCCGCGCCUCCA
rnacentral:tRNA from 1 species